GGGACACGUGGUAUCCUGUCUGAAUAUGGGGGGACCAUCCUCCAAGGCUAAAUACUCCUGACUGACCGAUAGUGAACCAGUACCGUGAGGGAAAGGCGAAAAGAACCCCGGCGAGGGGAGUGAAAAAGAACCUGAAACCGUGUACGUACAAGCAGUGGGAGCACGCUUAGGCGUGUGACUGCGUACCUUUUGUAUAAUGGGUCAGCGACUUAUAUUCUGUAGCAAGGUUAACCGAAUAGGGGAGCCGAAGGGAAACCGAGUCUUAACUGGGCGUUAAGUUGCAGGGUAUAGACCCGAAACCCGGUGAUCUAGCCAUGGGCAGGUUGAAGGUUGGGUAACACUAACUGGAGGACCGAACCGACUAAUGUUGAAAAAUUAGCGGAUGACUUGUGGCUGGGGGUGAAAGGCCAAUCAAACCGGGAGAUAGCUGGUUCUCCCCGAAAGCUAUUUAGGUAGCGCCUCGUGAAUUCAUCUCCGGGGGUAGAGCACUGUUUCGGCAAGGGGGUCAUCCCGACUUACCAACCCGAUGCAAACUGCGAAUACCGGAGAAUGUUAUCACGGGAGACACACGGCGGGUGCUAACGUCCGUCGUGAAGAGGGAAACAACCCAGACCGCCAGCUAAGGUCCCAAAGUCAUGGUUAAGUGGGAAACGAUGUGGGAAGGCCCAGACAGCCAGGAUGUUGGCUUAGAAGCAGCCAUCAUUUAAAGAAAGCGUAAUAGCUCACUGGUCGAGUCGGCCUGCGCGGAAGAUGUAACGGGGCUAAACCAUGCACCGAAGCUGCGGCAGCGACACUAUGUGUUGUUGGGUAGGGGAGCGUUCUGUAAGCCUGUGAAGGUGUGCUGUGAGGCAUGCUGGAGGUAUC
rnacentral:rRNA from 1 species